CCCUUAGAUGUUCUGGGCCGCACGCGCGCUACACUGACGAUGGCAACGAGUUUUUCCUUCGCCGAAAGGUGUGGGUAAUCUUUUGAAACAUCGUCGUGCUGGGGAUAGAUCAUUGCAAUUUUUCAUCUUGAACGAGGAAUUCCUAGUAAGCGCGAGUCAUCAGCUCGCGUUGAUUACGUCCCUGCCCUUUGUACACACCGCCCGUCGCUACUACCGAUUGAAUGGUUUAGUGAGGACUCCUGAUUGGCGCCGCCGCCCCGGCAACGGAGCAGCGGACUGCCGAAAAGUUGUUCAAACUUGAUCAUUUAGAGGAAGUAAAAGUCGUAACA
rnacentral:rRNA from 1 species